rnacentral:rRNA from 1 species
GGCGAACGGGUGAGUAAUACAUCGGAACAUGUCCAGUAGUGGGGGAUAGCCCGGCGAAAGCCGGAUUAAUACCGCAUACGAUCUACGGAUGAAAGCGGGGGAUCGCAAGACCUCGCGCUAUUGGGGUGGCCGAUGGCGGAUUAGCUAGUUGGUGGGGUAAAGGCCUACCAAGGCGACGAUCCGUAGCUGGUCUGAGAGGACGACCAGCCACACUGGGACUGAGACACGGCCCAGACUCCUACGGGAGGCAGCAGUGGGGAAUUUUGGACAAUGGGCGAAAGCCUGAUCCAGCAAUGCCGCGUGUGUGAAGAAGGCCUUCGGGUUGUAAAGCACUUUUGUCCGGAAAGAAAUCCUGGUGGCUAAUAUCCGCGGGGAUGACGGUACCCGGAAGAAUAAGCACCGGUAAACUACGUGCCAGCCGGCGCGG